GAGAGUUUCAGCGAAGCCACAUCCUGGACUUUAGGCCCUUCUGGGCUUGCACUGGCACCGCUCACCUCCUGUCUUUGCUUCUCUCGGGCCUGGAGUCUGGCUUGCGGACCGACAGCGGAGAGGAGGACAGGCCUGAGGCGCACAAAAGCAGCCGCCCUUUCCCAGGUGUGGCUUGCUCUCUGAUGCCACCCCCCACCAUUCCCCGCCCUGCCGUGCACAGUGCCUUGUCC
rnacentral:lncRNA from 1 species